AGCGAACGCUGGCGGCAGGCUUAACACAUGCAAGUCGAACGGGCGUAGCAAUACGUCAGUGGCAGACGGGUGAGUAACGCGUGGGAACGUACCUUUUGGUUCGGAACAACCCAGGGAAACUUGGGCUAAUACCGGACAAGCCCUUACGGGGAAAGAUUUAUCGCCGAAAGAUCGGCCCGCGUCUGAUUAGCUAGUUGGUGUGGUAACGGCGCACCAAGGCGACGAUCAGUAGCUGGUCUGAGAGGAUGAUCAGCCACAUUGGGACUGAGACACGGCCCAAACUCCUACGGGAGGCAGCAGUGGGGAAUAUUGGACAAUGGGCGCAAGCCCGAUGCAGCGACACCGCGUGAAGGAUGAAGGUCUUAGGAUUGUAAACUUCUGUUAAGUGGAAAAAGACUCGCUCAAAUAAGAGUGAGGGAUGAUGGUACCACUAGAGAAAGCACCGGCUAACUUCGUGCCAGCAGCCGCCUGUAAG
rnacentral:rRNA from 1 species